CGAGAUGUGGCGCAGUUUGGUAGCGCGCUUGGUUCGGGACCAAGAGGUCGUGGGUUCAAAUCCCAUCAUCUCGACCA
rnacentral:tRNA from 1 species